CGAAUGCGAUAUUCCACACUGCAUCCAACCGGCCCGGGGCAGCCGGGGCGGGGCAGCUAUUGCUUCCAUAUAAAGGACUCCGUCUGCCCGCGGACUGUACAGGCAGUUGUCAUUUAUGUUAUUUUACUUUAUUGAAGCUGAACUGGGAGAGGUCACUGUUAAAUGGCUUCGUUUUGUUCCCGUGUGUGAAUAACUCUCCGAAGAACUACAGUGACCCAAAAGUCGAACUACAGUGACCCAAAAGUCGACCCGUUUACAACGCCCGUCCAAGAGACCUGUUCCUGUCUCUCGGGCGGAGCUUUGCCCAAGAAGGUCCCCUCGGAGGAGCAGGCGGGCGAGCAGGAGGAAAGGGGGAGGGAGGGGGAGGCUCCUCAAUCAGCCCAAGUUGUAUCGUAAUUAAAUUGUGUUUUAUCCUAGCGAGGCAUGCAAAAUAUCGAGCAAAAUACAAGUUUAAGUAAUUUGUUUGUACUCUUACCUGUAGGAGUUGGAAAUUAACAGCCCCACUAGUUUACUGUUAAGCCUGGAGAGCGAGAGAUUGCUUUGCAAACAUUACAGUUAUUAUGUCUGCAGUUGGUACUCUUUGUAUAAAUUAUUGAUCAGCCAUCUUAUUUUUCUUUCUGCUUAAUGGAUAUUAUAGCAUAGCCGUUUACACGCUAUAGUUAAUGUUGUGUCAGCACUUCCAUUUAUAACAUCCCCCUUUACCCAGAGUUUAUAACUCUCUAUAAAAUUCUGCUCUGUGCUGAAACUUUUCAAGCAAGGGCUCGGACUUUUAAAAAUUCUCCUUCACUCCCACCCAAAAAACCAAUUAAUAAUGUGUGUCUGUUUUUUUUUUUUGAAAUAUGGGAAUAAUAAAGGUAACACCCUUCCCCCCUCAAAUGUUUUCCAUUCACUUAAGUGACAUGAGGAAGAAGAGGCUGCGUCUCGCAGGCUGUCAGUUCUUAUAUAAAAAGAAGGCAGCAAUGUG